GAGGAGAGAGAGAGAGAGAGCUCGACUGCAAGAUGAGAAAAUGCAAAGGAAGGGUCUGAGAAGAAAACUAUUAGACACCGCAGUUACUCGAGACAAGAAAAGGAACACCGGCAGCGAAGCAACGCUUCUUUGGCAUUGUUGACAGACCUUUGCAAGGACUAGCUGGGGUGCCAGAAGUGUCCCUUGAACAUAAGCAUCAAGAACAUCGCUUAUCAUUACAUCAGCACAUCCUUCGACAUGAAAAAAACAAAUCAGCCUUGAAAUCCUCUCUGAAGACUGCGAUCUUUUUUCCCCUGGUGAGACAGCACUGUGAAUAUCUGAAAAUGUGAAGCAGCCACUGUAAGUCAUGCACAGCAUCAUGGCAGAAGGCAAGGGAAUGCCAGCCUGAGUGGCCAGUCAGGUGCCAUUUUGUGUACAGAGAGCCCUUUGCUCUGCAGCCAUCUUGAGGGGGAAAUCCUGCAGCGUCUAAAAUGGAUGGAACGCCACUCAGUGUGGGCAUAAGGUUGGCCGAACAGCUGCAGUUACCAAAGGCGAAGUGGCCCAUAACGCCAGAAGAAUGUGCAGUGAGAGAAUACAACAAGCAAAAGUGCAAGAAUGUUAACGGCCUUGGAGAAAGAUAGGCUGCUGUUUGGAUUUUGGACUGCCAGUCCUUACAGAGUCCUACCAUUGACAUUUAUUUAUAUCGGACAUUUGCCUGCUAGAAUGAACACUUUGUGUUUUAGAGGAGCCUUGGAUUUUAGCCCGUGUGUAUUUUAUUGUAACUGAAUCAACAAUUCGUCUUUCCUCCGGUACUUAGAUCUAUAUUAUUUAUUUUCUUAUGUAGCAUCAAGACAGCAUUGAGGUCCAUUUCAUAAGGCUCAAAAUCAAAUAUGUGUGUGUGUGCGCUAGGGCUGAUGUAGAAACGAUUCGGCUAGUAAAUACAUCACAACUCGAUAGCAAGCCCAGUAAAGGAGGCGUCAUCACGACAAGAACUGAAAGCAAGAAACAAAUAUCCCUAAUAAACUCGGUGAGGUCAAGUUAUGCGAAAAGGAGGAGGCGGUCUUAUUUUGUUUUCGAGCCCACGUAUGAUAAAAGGUGGGAGGAUUGCAGAAUAGCCGUAGCUAAAAUUCAGAGAUGAAUUUGAACAGAGGAAUAUUUAAAUUUUAACAAAUUUGAAUACAUCUUAGUAUUUGCUUACAGAGGGAAGAUGAAAGUUGCCCUGCUGUAAACCUAUAAAUGGACAUGUUAGAAAUUGUGUUUUGCAGGAUAGUAUAUACCUCUGCACGCUUUCGAUAUUUUGCAGGUUCUGACCUUUGCUGGAGAGAGUUACACUGUGUACUGCUAGUACAUUGCCCAAUCACACUCCAGCGUAAAGUAGCUCUAGAGGUGCACCGGAUAGGAACCGUGUUUAUUUCCCCUCCCAUUUCACCACUUUCAUCCAGUUCAGUCUGGAAAAUCUGCUAUGAACCAAUGCAAUCUAGGAGGGUUUUACAUUUAUUAUGCCAUUUAUUAUUAUUUCUUGACAUGUUUAUAGCUUGGUAAAGUUUGAUUAAACAGACGAAAAUGGAUGUACCACAACAAUAAGCAUGUUAAAUCAGUACCAGUGCAACUUGUGAGUGUAAUUCACUUUUAUGCAGCACAAAAUAAUUGUAGUGCAGUGAUAAUGUCCCACUUUUGGGCCCGAAGGCCCAAAUAGGUUCUAGAGCUGAGUCAUACCAUUUCUGAACAAAUUGCUUAAAAACAGCUACAACAUCACUUUCUAAUUAGUAAAUGUAAUUGGAAACUUUUAAAUAAAUGCUUUUUUGAAAACACAUCUAUUAGUGGCCUUACGCUUACAUCAACUAGUCCAAUUUAGCAAGCAUUUCAAAGGAACUUCCAGUGAAUUAAUUAGUGAGAAUUUCCACUGAUUACAUGCCCAGCUGUAAGGAACUUUUUUUUAAAGUAUGGAAGUUUUAGAGAAACUCAACUGAAUUGGCAGUCCCUCCGGAGAAAAAAAAUUGAGUUAAUAUUUCGAGCCUAACGUUACCGUUCCGGAACUGCUUCAAUUGUAAUAAGCAAAAUCCCAGUGAUUAAUUAAUGUCGGGGACAUAGCUAGAUAUAUUGGUGGGGGUCAAAUUCAAGCACGACCUUUUUAAAGAUAGCACAGAAUUUGGUAAAAAUUCUUGUGCAGUACCUUCCACAGUUUCUUGCGCCAGUUUUGAUGAUAUUGGGAGAAUUAUGCUCACGGAAGUGCAACGGCGUAACAACAUCAAGUCCAAGACCGAUUGUGUGGGGCAUGACAGAAUGGACAAAAUGUAGUUGCUUGCUGCGGGCUAAAAGCCAAGGGGGAGGCAAUGGCCUCGUGGUAUUAUCACCAGACUAUUAAUCCAGAGACUCAACUAAUAUUCUGGAGACCUGGGUUCAUUAUCCGUUAUGGUAGAUGGUGGAAUUUGAAUUCAACAAAGAAUCUCAAAUUGAGGGUCUAAUAAUUACUGUGAAACCAUUACCUGGUUUGGCCUAAAUGUGACUCCAGACCUACAGCAAUGUGGUUGACUCUUAACUGCCCUCUGGGUUAUUCGGGGUGGGCAAUAACUGCUGGCCUUGUCAGAGACUCCCAUAUCCAGUGAAUCAAUACACAAAACAAAAACAGGAAAUAGGACUUCACCCCCACUUCCAAGCUUGGGGUCCAGAUCGCUUCUCACAUAUAACUCGAAGAUAGAAUGAGGUGGAAGAGAGAUUUUUAAAAUGGCAAGGGAAAGAUUUGCAUUAUUGCAGAGCUUUUCAGGAACACUGGAAGUCCAAAACGCUUUUAUUUGUACAUUAUUAAAUAAAUAUUUCCAUCGUGUACGAAAAGUAAUUUAUUUAGGGCCGCUAUUGUUUCCGGGCUGAACUUAGCUCUCUCAACAGUGUGAAUGAAUGACUAAAACGUGGGAACAGUCAGCAUCCGUCUGGCUAAAAGUUUAAUACACUUGAAGCAAGACUCAAAUGUUAAGAGUAUUUUUCUAAUGGAAGAAAAUUUAAAUUGAUACAUUUUCUGCUCCCAUUGUCAGCGAAAAUAAUAUUUCUUAGUUAAAUCCAAUGACUAUUAUAAAUCAUAAACCGAAACAUGAACAUAGAAAAUAUUAAAGCAAUAAGUAUGCGGACUAUUGUUUUAUGUUUUGGACAUAAAUUUUAAAUGAGAACAUUAUGAAACGAGCAUAGGCCUCCAAUAUGAGGAUUGAAACGGAUAGCAUGUUUGUAACCCACCUAUCUAUUCAUUAACAGAUUAUUUAUGUUUAAUACUUUUGCAAGUUGUAUUGCUCCUUAGUCUACACUUUACACUCUGGUGGAAUGUUUACUUUUUGCACGUUUGUCUAAUCUACCUUUUUAAUGGGGUAAUUAACAAUAAUGUGAAUUACAAAUUUCUAGAAAAUGUUAUGUUGAAAUUCUAUGAAGGUUUUCCUGGGACCUUUUCAUUAGUAGUAUCUUUUUUGUGACUGUGUUUACCCGAAAUGCAUAUUGCACAAUAAAAGGAAGAAGGGUUGCCUGGGAAAGUAAGCAGGUAGUAUUUUAAUUAGGAAGAAUUUGAAAUUUCAUGCAGUUCAGGGGCUGGGGAUCUAUACUGAAAAUGUAUUCUGGUCUGAUGGUGUUAAAUCCAGAUGCUUGGAUUAAACCGUAAAUCGGAGGACAAGUUGAUGUACCAAUCUAUGGAGCAAGGCUUCUGAGAAUUUCAAAGAAUAUGAACAUACGAUUCCGUAUUCUUCUGAAACGAAUAUCUCCACAUGUUAAAGGAUGCAAUUAUUUUGAGUAAAAUUUAAUUCCUUUUCCCAUGUUCUUCAAUAAUUUUCAAAUAAAUUCUACAUUUUGAUUAAUUUACUGGUUUCCUCUCGCUUUUUUCGGUGGCGGGUGGGGGAUUAUUUGUUGUAUGCUUAUUACAGGAAUAAAUCCUCGUGUUAGAAAUCGGCAUGUAGUGGAAGCGGGAACGUGAAGUUAAGCUCCCAUCAACCCAAUGGCUAUGCAGAAACGUGUU